rnacentral:rRNA from 1 species
ACGCUCGACACCUACAGGAGGCAGCAGUGGGGGAUAUUGCACAAUGGGGGAAACCCUGAUGCAGCAACGCCGCGUGAAGGAAGAAGGUCUUCGGAUUGUAAACUUCUGUCCUAUGGGAAGAUAAUGACGGUACCAUAGGAGGAAGCUCCGGCUAACUACGUGUCAGCAGCCGCGGUAAUCUGAGCGGCUGGCAAGGC